UAGGGAAUCUUCCGCAAUGGACGCAAGUCUGACGGAGCAACGCCGCGUGAGUGAAGAAGGAUUUCGGUUCGUAAAACUCUGUUGUUAUAGAAGAACAGCGCAUAGAGUAACUGUUAUGCGUGUGACGGUAUCUAACCAGAAAGCCACGGCUAACUACGUGCCAGCAGCCGCGGUAAUACGUAGGUGGCAAGCGUUGUUCGGAUUUAUUGGGCGUAAAGCGAGCGCAGGCGGUCAAUUAAGUCUGAUGUGAAAGCCCCCGGCUCAACCGGGGAGGGUCAUUGGAAACUGGUUGACUUGAGUGCAGAAGAGGAGAGUGGAAUUCCAUGUGUAGCGGUGAAAUGCGUAGAUAUAUGGAGGAACACCAGUGGCGAAGGCGACUCUCUGGUCUGUAACUGACGCUGAGGCUCGAAAGCGUGGGUAGCAAACAGG
rnacentral:rRNA from 1 species